rnacentral:tRNA from 1 species
AUCUAUAUAGUAUAAAUAUUACAUUUGAUUUCCAAUCAAAAAAUCUUUUAAAAGUGUAGAUA